UACGGAGGAUGCAAGCGUUAUCCGGAAUUAUUGGGCGUAAAGCGUCCGCAGGUGGUUUUACAAGUCUGCUGUCAAAGCGUGGAGCUUAACUCCAUAAAGGCAGUGGAAACUGUGAGACUAGAGUUCGGUAGGGGUUACGGGAAUUCCCAGUGUAGCGGUGAAAUGCGUAGAUAUUGGGAAGAACACCAGCGGCGAAAGCGCGUAACUGGGCCUGAACUGACACUGAGGGACGAAAGCUAGGGGAGCGAAA
rnacentral:rRNA from 1 species